AGAGGCCGGGGAGCAGGCUAGGCGCUGGGUGCUGGUCGGCUGUUGGAGCGCUGGUGGGAAUGGCAGCGGGGCCGGGAGAGCGGCGGCUCUAGGCGCCGGGUGGGUCGCGGCAGCCGGCUGCGGGGUUCGCCCUUUGUCUGCACCCUUCCAAAAUGGCUGCGGCCAGGGCGGGCGGUGACAGCUGCGCGGGCGCUCCCGGGGCCCCGGCGGUCAGAGAGGAGCAGGAGUCCUGGCACGAAGGCGCUUUCGGGGCGGAGAGGUGCGCAGAGGACGCCGCGGACACGACGGGUCAGCUCCCCUGACUUACAGCGGCCGUCUUAUUGGACAUCGCUAUGGAUUUCGUCUUUCCUUUUUUUUUUUUUUUUUUUUGAAAAGGCCGAAAACAAAUUCCAGAUGGCAAAGCUUGUUGGGGACCUCAACGCAACUGACCUUCCUAGAAUCAUCGUCACCUCUGAAGAGACUUGCCACGGUCUGCACAGAUCCAGCACUGGGGAAUGAGGAAUUUGACACUGUAAUUUUUUUUUUUUCCUUUCGUGCCUUGAAAGAGACUCUUCCCACCAGCUUUUACUACCCACACACACCCUCCAUGCACUCGGAAGAUGAAGGCAGGAGGAAAAGGAGUUCAACCUUUGUUAUGCAUUUAGUUGGAGGCCAGCCUGGGGGUCUUGUGGGGCCCUGUAUCAAAAAGGUGAGGUGAGAACUAUUCUCUCAAAAGCAGAGUAUAAACUCUCAGCCUGUGUGCUGAUCCUGUCCCAGCCUUUUAAACUAAAUGAGUUAUAUAACUACUAUACAAACCCCACCCUACCCCAGCUGUCCUCUAAGCAAUAGUCUACCUAAGGAACUGUGCGCCUUGAAGCCAAAAAACAAAACAAACAAACAAACCCCACAGUGCCCUCACUUGCAAAGUGUGCUUGGGAAUCCUUAAAUAACAGAAAUUUUGUUCUUGAA
rnacentral:lncRNA from 1 species